UCGGAUGACUCGGACUCCAUUAAAAUGACUCAGUCACCACCGAGUCAAGCGAGAUUCACAAUGUAGUACGAUUAAAAUCUAGAAAUUGGUAAAUGGUGGGAAUAAAACUGAGAAAUUAGGGGUUUUGUUUAGGUAGCUCAGUCAUGGCAACUACUACUGUUUUUAACUCCACUCUCACUGCAAUCCAUCAAAGGAGGAGAUCGUUCCAAAUUCAUUGUAAUUACAAUGAAGUUUCAGGUUUAGAUUAUAAUAGAUCCUUAAUGCCUGCAAUUCAUCAUCAAAAGCAGCAAGAAAAGAGAAGGUGUGAAUAUUAUGAUCUUAGUAAAGAAUUAGUACCUUAUAAGAAAGCAUGGGAUUGGCAGAAAUCAAUUCUUAAACAAAGACAAACAUUGAUUGAAAAAGAUGAAGAAGAUUUAUCAGAUACUUUGAUUAUACUUCAACAUUAUCCAGUUUAUACAUUGGGGACGGCUAGUUCAGUGGAGUUUCUGAAUUUUAAUAGGGAUGAUUCUCCUUAUGAUGUUUAUCGAACUGAACGCGGCGGUGAGGUUACUUAUCAUGGACCUGGCCAGCUUGUUAUGUACCCUAUAAUCAAUUUGCGGUACCAUAAGAUGGAUCUUCAUUGGUACUUAAGGGCGCUUGAGGAGGUUGUCAUACGAGUUCUUUCGUCAGCAUUCUCCAUUAAGGGUUCCCGAGUUGAUGGUUUAACUGGCGCUUGGGUUGGGAACCAGAAGCUUGCUGCCGUAGGAAUAAGGGUAUCUCGAUGGAUAUCGUAUCAUGGUUUAGCACUAAAUGUGACCACGGAUCUAACUCCCUUUCAGUACAUUGUUCCUUGUGGCAUAAGGGACCGCCAGGUUGGGAGUGUUGAAUCUGUUUUGAAGGAAUCAGUAUCAUCAUCCGAAGAGAGAGGUGCCAGAGAUAGGUUUAACUAUAAUGCUCGUCAAUUAAUGGAUGUUGCUCACGAAUCAUUACUAAGGGAAUUUUCUGAAGUUUUUCAACUUACUCUCCACCCCAAACCCAUCUCAGACUUGGACAUUCUAAAUGGAAGAUGCUGACAUUUCUGGUCUUCUAUCCUUGCCCUUGUCGAAACAAAUCUCUGGUGAUAAUUGUGGUACUAUUAGUAGCUCUACCCGCGCCAAUGACAAAGGUAAAGGUCAAUGAAAUCUCUUAACAAAAAUCCUGAAAACCAAUAUGUAGUUCUUUAUAUCUCCCUUUGAGAGACAUUUCAUUGACAAACUUGCAGAGAGAUGGGUGUUGAAGCCAGAGGAGUUAUAUUGCAAUUAUCAUCAGUAGUUGUAAUAUUGGUUUUAUUGAUCAUUCAAGCCCAAGCAAAUCAGAAUUGGUAUGGCAAAACAGUGCCAUAUAAACCUGCAGAUGAGAAGGUAACAAAGCUACACUUUUAUUUCCAAGACAUUAACGAUCUUUUGGUGGCUAGAAACCCGGCAGCGGAUAAAUUCUCAACCUUGUUUACCUCACUGUAUAUUGUGGAUAACCCAUUGACUGAAGGACCUGAACUGAAUUCGACAAUUGUCGGUCGAGUUCAGGGUCUGAUUGGGUUUGCAGCACAGAAGGAAACGGCUUCACUCAUGGGGCUUAGUUAUCUUUUCACAGAUGGCAAAUUCAAUGGCAGUACUCUCAUUAUUGUCACCAGGAAUCCUAUACUGAUACCCGACCGAGAAUUCCCUAUCGUCGGUGGAACUGGAUUGUUCCGGUUGGCUCGUGGAUUUGCAAAUGUUAAGACUGUCCUGUUAGAUCCUGUUGCUGGAAUUGCUACUAUCGAGUAUAAUGUAACUGUCAUUCACUAUUAAUGAAAGAUUAAAUCGCAGUUCUGUGGCUAAUGUGAUCACCAAUUUUAAUGGCUUUUGCUU